rnacentral:rRNA from 1 species
GAUGAACGCUGGCGGCGUGCCUAAUACAUGCAAGUCGAGCGAAGCGGGGACGGGUGAGUAACACGUGGAUAACCUCCUAUAAGACUGGGAUAACUUCGGGAAACCGGAGCUAAACCGGAUACUUAUAGAUGGAUCCGCGCUGCAUUAGCUAGUUGGUAGGGUAACGGCUGACAAAGGCAACGAUGCAUAGCCGACCUGAGAGGAGGAUCGGCCACACUGGAACUGAGACACGGUCCAGACUCCUACGGGAGGCAGCAGUGGGGAAUAUUGUACAAUGGUCGCAAGCCUGAUCCAGCCAUGCCGCGUGUAUGAAGAAGGCCUUAGGGUUGUAAAGUACUUUCAGCGGGGAGGCGUUACCCGCAGAAGAAGCACCGGCUAACUCCGUGCCAGCCGCCGCGGUAAUAC